AAGUCGUAACAAGGUUUCCGUAGGUGAACCUGCGGAAGGAUCAUUACCAAUAUAGCGAACCGAGCUUUAGCGAGGCUUCGCGAUCAAUUUGUAUUUAAAACCCAACUCUUUAAAUGUAUAUAUUAUUAUUGUAAAUAAUAAAAAGAUCACUUUCAACAACGGAUCUCUUGGCUCUC
rnacentral:misc_RNA from 1 species